rnacentral:lncRNA from 10 species
GUCCUGGUUUUUUUUACCUGCCAACCACAUUUCCUCCGGGGAGUUUUUCGAAUACUUUCAAAAUCUCCUCACUGAUUCACAGUGCAGAAUGUAUAUGGUACAUGGCAGCUGGGUUCCUGUGGCUUCUCCAAGCCUCCAUAUCCUAACCUUUAAAAGGGGGAUGAUAAUACUUGUCUUGAAGAUUGUUGAAAGAGCAGAUACACUGUUGGGUCAACAAUAAAUAUGACUUCGCCUACCAUAAAAUGUAAGAUUUUCAUUCUGAAGAGCCUCCCUUCUCUGCUACAAUGCCUCACUCUCAGGGUUGCCUGAGACAGGAGUUGGACCACAUGGCUUGACCCAGGAGGCAUGUUCAGGCUGAAAGAGACUGAGAGACAGAACCAGUUCCUGGUUCAGGGAUCGUGCCUAAAAUGUCCUGCAUCUAGUUCUACAGAAUGAAAUACUAGACUCUUAGAAGAGGCACAGAAUAUCAUCGUAAAUACAGCAUCCUAUGCUGCUACAUUGAAGAGGAAGAAUUUCAAGGCUCAUCAAAAUCAAAUUGCUUAGGCUUCUGUAGAUUGAUAAUAUAACACCUGGAAAUAAUUAUGUGGGGAAGAAAAACAAAAAGUACCAGAAAAGUCCUCCCAAAUAUCAUCUACUCAAUAGAUUUUGAUUCUGGACUGACAUUCUAUCUGUGGCACUUCAAGCAAUUCGACUAAAGGAAGCCCGCUUAUCUGUAUGUUAAAUGUACUAAGUCAGUGGGUGGAGUGACAUAUGGGGUCAUUCCAAUACUCUUUUCUGGUUUCUUUAAGGUCAGGGCCUAGAAUGUACCUUGAGACCUGUUCCCCAGCUUGAGAAGGAGAGGGAGCCAUAAGGAAAAACUCCAGUGGAGGGAAAGGAAGAAAAUGGCAUCUCCUAAUAGGUGUGCCAUAUUACAUGGCCUGUAUAGAAGAUCGGUGGGUCAAAGGGCAACUGAAAAACUCACUAGUAAGGGCAAAAAGGGCUUGUUUCUCUUAUAGAGUAAUUCCUGUGUAUCUUAUUUAUCUUUCACUUGUGCCACUCAUUUACAUAGAAUACCUUUGCCCAUAAGUUGGAGUAUUUUUACCCCUCAAUGUUGGCAAGUUGCAGGGUAGCUUUAUGGUAAAAGAGAGCAAAGGUGUGUCGUCCUUUGAUUCCCAAGAUUCCUAGUGGAAGUAUUUUCUUUGUUAUUCUCUGAACAAAAGAUAAAGAGGAGGCUGGACUUCGGAGUAUUUGUGAAAAUGCUAUUUCUAGCCCUCCAUCCACACAGUGCCUUUCGGUGUUCAUCUGGAGGUGAUGAAGGUGGAUGCAGGUGACUCCUCCGCUCUACCCAUGCUCACAGCCCAGCCCACUCUUCUCAAGAGUGCCCCACCAUUUCCCCAUCAAGUCCAAAGGCAGCACCAGAAGGGUAGAGUGAGCAUCCCCGAAGUCUGUGUCUUUAUUAUUUCCGUGGUCUGCUUCAAGUGUUAUCCCAUGUGCUUGGGGUAAUGUGUUUGUUUAAUUGAUGAAAACUCUAGGUGGCAGGAGGCUGGGAAGGUGGCUAGGCUUUUUCAUAUUUAUUCUCAUGGAAAACAUUCCCCUUUAUAAAUCUUUUUGCUACAAAUAGUGUUUUUUUUUCUUUUAUGUAAUUUUCUUAAUUUUUAAAAAAAUUUUUUGAGACAAGUUCUCGCUCUGUCACUCAGGCUGGAGUGAAGUGGUGUGAUCUUGGCUCACUGCAACCUCUGCCUCCUGGGGUCAAGUGGUUCUCAUACCUCAGCCUCCCAAGUAGCUAAGACUACAGCUGCGUGCCACCAUGCCUGGCUAAUUUUUGUAUUUUUAGUAGAGACGGGGUUUCGCCAUGUUGUCCAGGCUGGUCUCGAACACCUGACCUCAAGUGGUCUGCUUGCCUCGGCCUCGGAUAUGCUGGAAUUACAGGCAUGAGCCACCACGCCUGGCCGCUUUUAUGUAAUCUUGAUGUAACACCAAUCCCAUGUAGUCGGCACAAAUUAUAAAGUGUGUAAAUGACUGGUGAAAAAAUAAUGCCCUUCUCAAAGAGAAGAUAAUUCCAUUACAGGGAAUCUAGGGGCCGUUCAAUGCCAGAGGAUCCCACCCAGGAAAGCUGGUGGCUGCAGGGAUAAAAGCCAGCAGUUUGGAAAGAAACACCUAUAAGAACAUGGACCACGUAGGAGCCUAGCUUCAAGCUCCGCUUUACCAGGCUUCCCUUCCCCUUUGCUGAAUUGCAGCUCCUGAUCCUGCCUGCAUCCUACUGGCCUGUGUUACAUAAAGAUCUAGUUCUGGAAUACAGGAAAUAUGGUGGAGAUUGUUCUAUGUUAAGGUUCCAAGCCAAGUACGGGCCCAUAUCCUCAGCUAAGAUAAUUAUUGGUGGGUGAAUAAAUUAGGCUUGCCGACACUUGUCUGUUUAAGCAAAGACAGCAUUUUAAAUAUUAGAAGAAUGUCCACUUCACUCUACAGAGUCAACAUUAUUCAGCACUUCCAUUAGCUGUGGAUUACCAAAGCAGAAGACAAUUCUUAAGUUAAGAAAAUUUUAUGAGUGAAAAGACAAAUGUAAGCAAAGUGGAUACAUAUUCUGAAAGUUUUAUGUAAAAACCAAGGUGCAGGUGCAAGUAUAUGUAAUUGAUACGUAAUGCAGAGAGGCAGAAUGGGAGAGCAGAGGAGAACACGGACUCGGGAGCAAGAUGGCCUAGGUGUGGAGCAUGGCUCUGCCACUGACUACCUGGGAAACCCUGGGCAAAUUACCUGACCUCUCUGGGCCUUGCUCUCUCCUCAUCUGUACAAUGGGGCAAUGAUAGAACUUGUCUCAACGGAUUGUAGAGAGGAUUAAACACGCUAGAGCAUGUAAAGAACUUGGACACACUGCUUGACACUUAGUAAGUGUUGUGAAAGUAUUAGCUUCCUAAUGCAAGCAUUGUCUUUGCCUCUUCAUCCUCUUUUUUUUUGUACCCUUCAUCCUCCUCUUCUUUUUCCUUCUCCUCUUUCUGUCUCUUUUCCUCUUCCUCCUCGUCCUUCUUUAUUAGCAUGAUUGUACAUGCGAAAUGGCCAGGGCUGGCUAUAUAAUUUGUCGAGCACAGGACAAAAUGAAACUUCAGGGCCU